rnacentral:rRNA from 1 species
GAUGAACGCUGGCGGCGUGCCUAAUACAUGCAAGUCGAGCGAACGGACGAGAAGCUUGCUUUUCUGAUGUUAGCGGCGAACGGGUGAGUAACACGUGGAUAACCUACCUAUAAGACUGGGAUAACUUCGGGAAACCGGAGCUAAUACCGGAUAAUAUUUUGAACCGCAUGGUUCAAAAGUGAAAGACGGUCUUGCUGUCACUUAUAGAUGGAUCCGCGCUGCAUUAGCUAGUUGGUAAGGUAACGGCUUACCAAGGCAACGAUGCAUAGCCGACCUGAGAGGGUGAUCGGCCACACUGGAACUGAGACACGGUCCAGACUCCUACGGGAGGCAGCAGUAGGGAAUCUUCCGCAAUGGGCGAAAGCCUGACGGAGCAACGCCGCGUGAGUGAUGAAGGUCUUCGGAUCGUAAAACUCUGUUAUUAGGGAAGAACAUAUGUGUAAGUAACUGUGCACAUCUUGACGGUACCUAAUCAGAAAGCCACGGCUAACUACGUG